CCUACGGGAGGCAGCAGUGAGGAAUAUUGGUCAAUGGCCGGGAGGCUGAACCAGCCAAGUCGCGUGAGGGAAGACGGCCCUACGGGUUGUAAACCUCUUUUGUCAGGGAGCAAGGUGCAGGUCGGGACCUGCUGUGAGAGUACCUGAAGAAAAAGCAUCGGCUAACUCCGUGCCAGCAGCCGCGGUAAUACGUAGGGGGCAAGCGUUAUCCGGAUUUAUUGGGUGUAAAGGGAGCGUAGACGGCAGCACAAGUCUGGAGUGAAAUCCCGGGGCUUAACCCCGGAACUGCUUUGGAAACUGGGCGGCUUGAGUGCAGGAGGGGUAAGCGGAAUUCCUGGUGUAGCGGUGAAAUGCGUAGAUAUUAGGAGGAACACCGGUGGCGAAGGCGGCUUACUGGACUGUAACUGACGUUGAGGCUCGAAAGCGUGGGGAGCAAACAGGAUUAGAUACCCUAGUAGUC
rnacentral:rRNA from 1 species